rnacentral:rRNA from 1 species
GACAGAGGGUGCAAGCGUUGUUCGGAAUUAUUGGGCGUAAAGGGCGCGUAGGUGGCCGCGUAAGUCGGAUGUGAAAGCCCAGGGCUUAACCCUGGAAGUGCAUCCGAUACUGUGUGGCUUGAGUCCCGGAGAGGGUCGUGGAAUUCCCAGUGUAGAGGUGAAAUUCGUAGAUAUUGGGAGGAAUAUUAGUGGCGAAGGCGACGACCUGGACGAGGACUGACACUGAGGCGCGAAAGCGUGGGGAGCAAAC